UAGGGAAUCUUCGGCAAUGGGCGAAAGCCUGACCGAGCAACGCCGCGUGAAUGAUGAAGGCCUUCGGGUUGUAAAAUUCUGUUAUAAGGGAAGAAUGGCUCUAGUAGGAAAUGGCUAGAGUGUGACGGUACCUUAUGAGAAAGCCACGGCUAACUACGUGCCAGCAGCCGCGGUAAUACGUAGGUGGCGAGCGUUAUCCGGAAUUAUUGGGCGUAAAGAGCGCGCAGGUGGUUGAUUAAGUCUGAUGUGAAAGCCCACGGUUAACCGUGGAGGGUCAUUGGAAACUGGUCAACUUGAGGGCAGAAGAGGGAAGUGGAAUUCCAUGUGUAGCGGUGAAAUGCGUAGAGAUAUGGAGGAACACCAGUGGCGAAGGCGGCUUCCUGGUCUGUAACUGACGCUGAGGCGCGAAAGUGUGGGGAGCAAACA
rnacentral:rRNA from 1 species